rnacentral:rRNA from 1 species
UGCAGUCGAGCGGUAGAGAGAAGCUUGCUUCUCUUGAGAGCGGCGGACGGGUGAGUAAUGCCUAGGAAUCUGCCUGGUAGUGGGGGAUAACGUUCGGAAACGGACGCUAAUACCGCAUACGUCCUACGGGAGAAAGCAGGGGACCUUCGGGCCUUGCGCUAUCAGAUGAGCCUAGGUCGGAUUAGCUAGUUGGUGGGGUAAUGGCUCACCAAGGCGACGAUCCGUAACUGGUCUGAGAGGAUGAUCAGUCACACUGGAACUGAGACACGGUCCAGACUCCUACGGGAGGCAGCAGUGGGGAAUAUUGGACAAUGGGCGAAAGCCUGAUCCAGCCAUGCCGCGUGUGUGAAGAAGGUCUUCGGAUUGUAAAGCACUUUAAGUUGGGAGGAAGGGCAGUUACCUAAUACGUGAUUGUUUUGACGUUACCGACAGAAUAAGCACCGGCUAACUCUGUGCCAGCAGCCGCGGUAAUACAGAGGGUGCAAGCGUUAAUCGGAAUUACU